rnacentral:lncRNA from 1 species
CUACUGUAAUAUGCAGUAAUGUAUUCCCUAACUGUGGAAUCUGCAUUCAGAUUCUGUGCAGCAGCAUGUCCAUAUUGCAUAAUUUGUUUGUACUUGAGCUAACCUGAAGCCAAAUGACACUGAUUACCUCACAUCCACACUGCUUAAGGCUAGCAUUCCUCAUAAGUUUUUCUCAGAGCCAACCAGCUGUUGGUAGUGACGUAACAAUUAAUAACUGAAGCAACAGAGAAGACACUGAGCUCUUAGAUCUUUUCCAUUUAUCAGUUUAGAACUACACUGCUGUCCCUGAAGUAGCUCCUUAAAUGGUCUCAAUCUCCUGAAGGGGUUUAAGGAGAAGCUGUGUAUCCACAAGAAGGUGUGGAUUGCAACACCCAGCCAGGGCUGUUUUCAUGUCCCUGCUGCCCAAAUUUCAUUAUCUCUCAAAUCAGAGAAAAAACGAUCUGGCCAGAAGCUUGCCUAGGGCCUUGUGGGAGAGCAUACGGGAAGCAGAAAGCAGCAGAGUUAAAAGCUGUGGAACAACUGAGCUACAGGGCAACACUCCAUCAUAUUAUGCAGACCAGAAUAACACAGAAAGUUCAGUUUUGUUGACAAAAAGAAACUUCUCUUCCUAAAUAUGUGGCUGAAGCUGAAAAAAGAGAAACUCCUUAAACUCUUUUAUAUGAGGGAGAAACAAUGAUGAACUAUGUGUCCCUGUUGAAACGGCU